GACCUGCUCGGAAUGGUCCGGAGGGUUCCGCAGCUUCGGCGGCCCGUGGGCGGAUGGCGGGGCGGGCCGCGGGGUUAGGGAGACCCCGCAGGCGGCGACCGAGACUGGAGGCGAUCAGGAAUGAGGCCAGGCUACGACUCCUCCUUCCUCCCGAAAGAACUUUCCCACGGUACCGCGGAGGUGCAGCCCUCAGCUCUCUGCCUCCGCCCAGAGAGGGGCUGCUGGUGCCAGGUGAGAAACCAAGGUGCUGAAGACAUCUCUUUGAAGUAUUUCCCAUGGAGAGUGUUGACUCAGCAGAAAAUGCCCCACCUUGAGGAUGGCAUUGGGAAGGACCAGAGAAGAAACAGCUGCCAACGUAGAAGUACUUCAGAUGAGUUGGUUUUGCCGGCUUCCAGCCCUUGUCCUUGGACACAGUGAGCCUCAGGAAUGAAUACACAGUGGAACACCCAACACCAUUCUAGAGGCAGGGGAGGCCUAACAGAGGUGGCCAGGAACACCGCCGCCCUCCCUAUCAGAUGUAGGCAGGAAUGAGGAAGGGAGCCUGUCACCUGAGGGCCUGCCAUCAGGACUUCCAUCGCAUGAACCAUUGUAGUCAGCAAAGUUUGAUGCAGGCUUGACGUUUGAGGGACACCUAGUCUGUGUUAAGUGGUCUUCACCUCUCUGUAUGUAUCUUAAGUCAUCCUUCCAACCUCAUAAGGGAAGUGUUAUCAUUGUUUUUUAAAUGAUGAAAAUGAAGUUCCAAGAAGAGGUUGUAUGACCCUGAGUCUGUAAAAUGGCAGAGCCAGAACCUGGAAUAAAAAUCUCUUAACCAUU